GACGAACGCUGGCGGCGUGCUUAACACAUGCAAGUCGAACGGAAAGGCCCUGCUUUUGUGGGGUGCUCGAGUGGCGAACGGGUGAGUAACACGUGAGUAACCUGCCCUUGACUUUGGGAUAACUUCAGGAAACUGGGGCUAAUACCGGAUAGGAGCUCCUGCUGCAUGGUGGGGGUUGGAAAGUUUCGGCGGUUGGGGAUGGACUCGCGGCUUAUCAGCUUGUUGGUGGGGUAGUGGCUUUCCAAGGCUUUGACGGGUAGCCGGCCUGAGAGGGUGAACGGCCACAUUGGGACUGCGAUACGGCCCAGACUCCUACGGGAGGCAGCAGUGGGGAAUAUUGCACAAUGGGCGGAAGCCUGAUGCAGCAACGCCGCGUGCGGGAUGCCGGCCUUCGGGUUGUAAACCGCUUUCGCCUGUGACGAAGCGUGAGUGACGGUAAUGGGUAAAGAAGCACCGGCUAACUACGUG
rnacentral:rRNA from 1 species